GGGCAUGUGGUGUAGCUCGCUUAGCAUGUCUCUUUCAGAGCAUACCCCUGCGAGAGGGGUCCGGUUCAAUCCCGGACAUGUCCA